rnacentral:tmRNA from 1 species
GGGGCUGAUUUGGUUUCGACGGGAAUAGUAGAGCAUAGAUGGCAAGUCGAUUUGUCACGUAAUGACUAAAAGCAAAUAAAUGCAACAAAAUUAAAAAAUGCUUUUGCUAACAUGUUUGGUACUCGCCAAGCUGUAGCAUAUGUCUAAUAGAAAAUAAGACAAGCGCUUUUUUUUAACUUUACCUUUGAGUUAUUAAAGAGUUCAUUUUAAAAGGUUAUAUCUAUUUCUUGUCUAGGAAAUAGAAAGAAUUUUUAGACUAGUAUAGUUUCUUGGUCGUUAACUACUUGGAAAUUAUAUGAAUAAUAUUAGUUAACUAAACUUGUAGAAGUUUAUGUAGCUCUAUUUUCGGACAGGAGUUCGAUUCUCCUCAGCUCCACCA